rnacentral:rRNA from 1 species
AGAGGUGGCAAGCGUUGUUCGGAUUUACUGGGCGUAAAGGGUGCGUAGGUGGUUAGGUAAGACCUGCGGGAAAGACCUGGGCUUAACCCAGGAAGGUCGUAGGUGACUGCCUGGCUAGAGGGCGGGAGAGGAGAGCGGAAUUCCCGGUGUAGCGGUGAAAUGCGUAGAGAUCUGGAGGAAGGCCGGUGGCGAAGGCGGCUCUCUGGAACGUUCCUGACACAGAGGCACGAAAGCGUGGGGAGCAAACAGGAUUAGAUACCCUGGUAGUCCACGCCCUAAACGAUGGGUACUAAGUGUCGGCGGGUUACCGCCGGUGCCGCACCUAACGGAGUAAGUACCCCGCCUGGGGAGUACGGCCGCAAGGUUG